rnacentral:rRNA from 1 species
GAACGCGCCCUUCGGGGCGAGUGGCGGACGGGUGAGUAACGCGUGGGAACGUGCCUUUUGGUUCGGAAUAACUCAGGGAAACUUGUGCUAAUACCGUAAUGUGCCCUGUGCGGGGGAAAGAUUUAUCGCCAAAAGAGCGGCCCGCGUCUGAUUAGCUAGUUGGUGGGGUAAAGGCCCACCAAGGCUACGAUCAGUAGCUGGUCUGAGAGGAUGAUCAGCCACACUGGGACUGAGACACGGCCCAUACUCCUACGGGAGGCAGCAGUGGGGAAUCUUGCGCAAUGGGCGAAAGCCUGACGCAGCCAUGCCGCGUGGAUGAUGAAGGUCUUAGGAUUGUAAAAUCCUUUCACCGGGGACGAUAAUGACGGUACCCGGAGAAGAAGCCCCGGCUAACUUCGUGCCAGCAGCCGCGGUAAU